GUUCUCACUGAUGGCGGUGGGUAAACCCCUAAGAGGGAUCCGCUGCCAGGGCGAGGCGAGGAGGAGGCAAAAGGGCCUGCAGGUAGAGGGCCAAGACCCUGAGGAGAGAGGGGGCUCACUGCCCCGAUGCAGAGGAUCAGCCCCAGAUGGAUAAGGAGUUUGAGGUCGCGGGGAUGCUGAGCCCUGCCGAAGUGGAAGUGACUGGCUACCAGGAUCUGAAAACCCCAAAUCUCUUGGAUGAGUGGGGAUCAGAGCUGAAGCUUCACCACAAAUCAGAAGUGGGACUUGAGAGACUGGCAGAAGGGUAGCCAGAUGUUGGAAGAGGUGGCUAACCUGAAAGGCAGCUGGGGAGCCUUGCCACAGGGGCCCAAGAAACCAGUAUGACCCCAGAGACUGUUCCCAGCAGGAUGUCCAUCCCAUCAGCUGAGAGUCCUCAUGGUCAGCCUCAUGCACCUGUCGUGGAGGCCAACCCGCAGGACAGGACACGGGAGCACGGGCUGAAGAGGCCUUCCUGUGGCUGCUAAGGACAAGCCUUUUGCUUGGCGCCUGGCUGCACACCUGGCCUGGCUAGCCCUCCCCACCCUUGGGAAGCCUCUCUGACCGUCCAGCCCUCCUUGGACAUCACAGCCUUUUCGUCUGGUCUCUGCCGAAACCUGUUUGCUGCCCAUGGCUUCUAGUUCUUCUGGAUGAGCACCCAGGGGAUGGCCAGAGCUGCUGUGCCGAUUGCAUGGUCCUCCAGCUUCUUUCUCCACACGUGGCACUCAGUAGGUGCCUAAUAAACCUG